rnacentral:rRNA from 1 species
GGGGAAUAUUGCACAAUGGAGGAAACUCUGAUGCAGCAACGCCGCGUGAGUGAUGAAGGUCUUCGGAUUGUAAAGCUCUGUCUUCUGGGACGAUAAUGACGGUACCAGAGGAGGAAGCCACGGCUAACUACGUGCCAGCAGCCGCGGUAAUACGUAGGUGGCAAGCGUUGUCCGGAUUCACUGGGCGUAAAGGAUGUGUAGGCGGAUAUUUAAGUGAGAUGUGAAAUCCCCGGGCUUAACUUGGGGGCUGCAUUUCAAACUGGAUGUCUAGAGUGCAGGAGAGGAAAGCAGAAUUCCUAGUGUAGCGGUGAAAUGCGUAGAGAUUAGGAAGAAUACCAGUGGCGAAGGCGGCUUUCUGGACGAUAGCUGACGCUGAGGCGCGAAAGCGUGGGGAGCAAAC